GCUCCCGGCCCGGCGGCGGUUCUCCGCCCCACCCGCCGCCCAGGAGGCUGGAAGUAGAGUAACGAUCUUGGGAGCAGAAGACAACAAAGCCACAAGCUAAGGAUGAUGGAGCAGAAGGAGGAAAGGAGCCUAGAACGCUGAUGCCACCUUGGAGCUCCUGCAAAGACUUGGACUUCUUGGUCCCCAUCUCUCUGGGAUGAGCCAGAUUCCUGCCUGCUGGUAAGGCUUUGCCUCUGAGGGUCUGCAGAGGCACCAGGAGCCGUUCUUCUGCA